rnacentral:rRNA from 1 species
UACGGAGGGGGCUAGCGUUGUUCGGAAUUACUGGGCGUAAAGCGCACGUAGGCGGACUGUUAAGUCGGGGGUGAAAUCCUGGGGCUCAACCUCAGAAUUGCCUCCGAUACUGGCAGUCUCGAGUGCGGGAGAGGUGAGUGGAAUUCCCGAGUGAUAGAGGUGAAAUUCGUAAGAUAUUGGGAAGAACACCAGUGGGCGAAAGGC